CGUCGUUCGUCCGUCGUCGUGCCGCGUGCGAUCGUCGUCCUGCCGAAAUUUACCGGCUGCCGUCCGAUCCAUUCCACGCCUGCAUCCCGCUCCGGCCUCGCCUCGCAUUACCCUCACCUCGCAGCGCCGCCAGAACGGAAUCUCGUGCCCUCGCUCCAUCCCGGCCUCCAGUCCGAUCGGCGCCGCCAUCCAUCCCCCUUCUCCUUGCUGCGUAAGAUCGAGCUGGCCGCCGGGCGCUGGCCCCAUUAGAACCAGAGAUGCACGGAGAGGAGCCCGGAGAGGAGAGGGCUGGGCCGUCGUCCACUCGCGCUGGCCCCUACGUCGCGUCGUCAUCACAUCGCUCACCCGUGGGCAGCAGGUCCCUGCUUCCUCCGCCGGCGAUUUGCGUCACGCUAAUCUUCCGCUGCUAAUUGUCUUCCGGUCUCCAACUACCAUCCCCACGAUCUCCAUUUGCUCGUGUGCCUCCGCCCCCGAGCUGGACGGGCGGCCGCCGCCACUGCUCCCCAUCCUGUCCUUCCUCCAUCACUGCCCGCACAAUCCAGGAUCCAGACCUCCUCUGCGCCGUCUCCUUGCCGGGCCCAUGGAAGAGGGCGGCGCGGCCCCGUUGGAUGGCGCAUAGGAUCGGCCCGGAGGAGGGUGCACUGGGCGGCGGUGCCCCGCUCGGCUGCGUUCUCACCCAAGUGGAGACAGUGCCAUGACAUCCCGGAGGAGACCUCCUGCGAGGAGGUGCCAUGGGAAAUUGGUUCUCCUCUGAAUGAGGUUUGCUGGAGACUAUUGCCAAUCCGUCGGUAAGAUGUAAAUAAGCUGCAGCUCGCUCUCCUCAGUUCAUUCCAACCAUGCGUUCUGCUCCCCGCAUGCUCACCAUGUGCUUGAUGAAAAGCCGGUAAGGAUUGUCAUCCAUAUUGUCAUGAUAAUAUUUACUGUUUUUGAGCAUAUGCAAUAUUUUAUUAUCAAUAGAGUGGAUUAGGGGGGCCGAUCUUCCACUUUUGCCAACUGCGGGAGAAGUCAAGCAUGGGUUGGUUGAUGGCAUCUAUUUAAUGCAGCCAUGGAGCUUUCAUGUUGCAGGCAGUCAAGAACCUGAUUGGAGGAAGUUUUUGUUUGAAACAAGUCACCCCUGCAACUAAUGCAUUGUCUGAUGAAGGCGUCAAGGCUCUCACGGUCUCACCAUAGGACGCAGGAUGGUGGGUCAUCUGCAUUGGUCUAGAGCAUAUUUUCUGAAUGAAUAUGCUUGCUUGAUUUUGUAUAAGUAGUUUUCUCCCGAGUAUUCAUGUGUUAAGUGAAAUAAUUAUUUUCAUUUUCUCUACAAUAUUAUCAGACAUGAGAUACAAUGGUAUUGGGAGAUUACUAUGGUGAAGCUUUGGUUCUACUCAA